rnacentral:RNase_P_RNA from 1 species
GCCACCCCUAACGGCCCAUGGGCCCGCCAAAGGGCCUAAGGAAACUCCGCCCUCCCCGCGGCAGCUAGGCCCCGCAAGGGGCACGGGUGAAACCCGUGGCAACAGCACAGAAACGAGACGGCCCCCACCCAGUGAGUAUGAGGCGGCAAGGCCCAGCUGGUAACAGCUGGGCAGUAAUCCGCCGUAGAGGGUGGGGGAUGCGUUGAAACGGCUGGCCCUAGCGGAGCAAGGCCCCGGGGGCUAUGAGGCGCCGCGCGAUGCCCCUGGGGGUGUCCGCUUAGUCUAAUGCCGUUGUAGUACAGAAGGCGGGUUAUAGGGGUGGC